AGGACGAACGCUGGCGGCGUGCCUAAUACAUGCAAGUCGAACGAGGUCCACCCGGUGGCAACACCGGUGAAGACCUAGUGGCGAACGGGUGAGUAACACGUGAGGAACCUGCCCCCGAAGACCGGGAUAACUCUCCGAAAGGAGUGCUAAUACCGGAUACCCCCAGAAGAUCGCAUGGUCUUUUGAGGAAAUGGAUUCCGCUUCGGGAGGGCCUCGCGGCCUAUCAGCUUGUUGGUGAGGUAACGGCUCACCAAGGCAUCGACGGGUAGCUGGUCUGAGAGGACGAUCAGCCACACUGGGACUGAGACACGGCCCAGACUCCUACGGGAGGCAGCAGUAGGGAAUCUUGCGCAAUGGGCGAAAGCCUGACGCAGCAACGCCGCGUGGGGGAUGAAGGCUCUCGGGUUGUAAACCCCUUUCAGUAGGGACGAAAUCAGACGGUACCUACAGAAGAAGCCCCGGCCAACUACGUGCCAGCAGCCGCGGUAA
rnacentral:rRNA from 1 species